rnacentral:rRNA from 1 species
UACAGAGGGGGCAAGCGUUGUUCGGAAUUACUGGGCGUAAAGGGCGCGUAGGCGGCCUGCUAAGUCGAACGUGAAAUCCCCGGGCUCAACCCGGGAACUGCGUCCGAUACUGGUUGGCUUGAAUCCGGGAGAGGGAUGCGGAAUUCCAGGUGUAGCGGUGAAAUACGUAGAUAUCUGGAGGAACACCGGUGGCGAAGGCGGCAUCCUGGACCAAUUCUGACGCUGAGGAGCGAAAGCCAGGGGAGCAAACGGG